rnacentral:rRNA from 1 species
UACGGAGGGUGCGAGCGUUGUCCGGAAUCACUGGGCGUAAAGGGCGCGUAGGCGGCCUGAUAAGUAAGGGGUGAAAUCCUGCGGCUUAACCGCAGGGCUGCCUUCUAAACUGUCAGGCUCGAGCACAGUAGAGGCAGGUGGAAUUCCCGGUGUAGCGGUGGAAUGCGUAGAGAUAGGGAAGAACAUCAGUGGCGAAGGCGGCCUGCUGGGCUGUUGCUGACGCUGAGGCGCGACAGCGUGGGGAGCAAACAGG